GAGAUAUACUGUAGAGACAAGCACCAAGUAAUGCACAAUAAUUAGAAUUUUAAAUGUAAAUACAGUACUGCACCAGUCGCUCAAGAUUUGGUGUGCUGUGAGACUGCGCCACCUUUAAAUUGCAGGCAUAGUUCAACUGAAAACGGAUGAAAUAACAUAUUUCACUAACCUUGGCAAUCAGCAAGCCAAAUAAAAGGGAAAACAUAAAAGGAAUGAAUGGAGCAAAGUGAGUCUCAGAUUGUAUAUUUUCCAUCCCAGGAGAUAGCAUAAAGAUGUAGAUACAGUUUUUAGUGGAGGGAGAAGAGGGGAGUGAGAAUGUGAGUGCGUAUAAAUCAAUGGUUCUUUGUGUCACAGAAAAAAAAAUAGGUGGAAUCACACAAGCCCGUGCAAUUACAUGACUCACACAGUCACACUCGCACGUGCACGUACGGACAGAUACGCUUCAGAGAAGAAGAGAGCGCGAGAGGCAGACACCUGAAGAAGCUCAGCACACAGAGAGAGCAUCAAGCUCCCUGGUCCAUCCAGUCAAGUCAGUGUGCAAAGUAACUACAAUGCCUCUUUCACUGCACAACGGAAUUUGUUACUUAUUGGAACUGUAGCGAAUGGAGCUUCCUUGAAAUGGACAUGCACCAAGUGGUGUAAGGUGGCUUUACUAUCUCAACCCAGCUGACUUUGGGCAAGAGGUGGGCUGAACUGAUGGGCAGCCAAUGAAGAGCCAAAAAAAUGGAUAGGUAAUAUUUUCAUAAUAUUACAUUUUUACAAUUUUAACCAACUCAAUGAAGAGAGAGCACUCUGUUGUUUAUGUGAUCGGCAGUAAUAGCCUUUAUCACAACCACUAAAAGAACAGACUGGUCCUGACACUUGCUGACAUGUUGCAGUAAACCAAACCACACUGUGAGUGUGUGUGUACCUGAUUAUAAAAUACCACCUUGAUGUUUUGAGUCAUCCGGUGUUUCCAAAAUGCCGCAUGACCGCUAUUUAGCGCAGCGGAUCAAUUAAGUUCAGGGCCUGCACUGGCACAGUGAUAGUUGUGUCACUGCUUCAUUUCCAAUGUAAAGUAACACAUGAUCCUUUACGUGAUUUCCCACUCAAAAGGUGAAUGAUGACACUAGUGGAUUUUGGGCCGUGGAAGGCAAGAUACGAGGAACUGUCGUUGUGAAAAACACAUCGGUUCUUUGCUCAGGAUUGAAAAUUAGUCGAGCUGCCGUGUCAUAUUUUUCUGUGUGCUCUCACUGACCCUGAUAGCCGAAGCAAUAAAAGGCAGUGAAAAAAAUAAAUAAAAGCGCUCCGCAUUUCUUAACCAUCCAUUUCGGAUUGUGUUGUUGUGUAGAGCUAGGUUUGGUUUAUCGUUGCCGCUGGGCAUUUUUUUCAAGGUUUUUGAGGGUAAAAUGAAAGGCAAACAGGAAAGAAACAUAGAGUGUUUAACUGAAUUCAGAUGAUGGAAUUGUAAUGCAGUUUGGCGAUAUAGAAAAUAAUUUGGAAGGGAUUUCGAAAGGUCAACAAAUACAUCAAUGUAAGGGGAGAAAAAAAAGUCUCGCUAUGUUCUCAUUUUGUAUAAAUGCAAUGGUGUUGUUACACCCCAUCUUUCUUGUGAAAUCACUUUUUCCAGUCGGCGACAAUCAUGAUUCCUCCUCGCCGUGUCAUGCUGACUUCACACAUCAUCAUCUUUUUGAUUGACUUUGAGAUGAAGAGAUGAAGCUCCCAUGCGCACACAUUAUUUGUGAUGCAUCCCUCCAAUAGGAAACUCUGCAACGAACCCCUUAAUAGAAUGUGUAAUUUGGAGGCUUCCUUUUAAACGCAGCUCCGGUGAGAAGUGAAGUAUAAUAGAGAUGCGAGCUCGUUUGUCCAAGUGAAACAAAUAAUCUCUCUGCUGCAGCGUGGCAGUCGUGUGGGAGGAAAUCUCCGGGGAGGCUGCAAACGGUGAUUAGUAAACAGCCAAUACUUAUGUAGAAAACACAUUAUUUUCCGAAGCU